rnacentral:lncRNA from 10 species
GGGGUUUGUUACAUUCCGCUGCCGCCGCGGACAGUUCUUAAAGGGCCAGCCGCCGGCUGCCGCGCAGACCCAGCUGCGUCCUGCGCCGCCUCCCGCUCCCUGAGGGCCUGGGCCGAGAGAGACUGAUCGCGCGUGGGCCUCGCGAGGCAGACGCCGUCGGGCGGACAACAAAGAGAGAGGCCCCGGAAGGAGCCGGGCUGCCCCCGGACCCGGGGGUGGGGAGGGGAGCACAUUGUUCCGCAGGGCGGGAGCUCUUAAAGGAUCCAGACAGGCACCCCCCCCCUCCCCCGCCCCCUGCCCAGUUUGGCCGUCCUAGAUCGGGAACAAAGGAGUCAACGUGUGGCCGGGCGGCCAAAGGGUUGUGAGUCCCGGCCCAGCCCCUCCACCCCCCUGCCCCCCCGAUGCGACCAUGGGCUCUGGCAGUGACUAGGUGGCCACCCUCCGCCCCCGUGGGCCAGCGGCGAUUCUCUGCGGGACCUGGCAGCACCCCGGGCCAGCUCUGGGGAAGCCGCCGUCCCGACCUCCACACCUCCCCGUAGAGGAGCGCCGAGCCUCGGCUCCUGCCGGCGGGAGCCCCCGAAUGCUGCACCCAGCCACCCAGCAGAGCCCGUUCAUGGUUGAUCUCCACGAGCAGGUAGGCAGAACCCCAUCCCCUGUGCCCCUGGCCCUGUGAGCCAGUCUGAGAGGCAGAGGCAGCAAGGCCUAGAUUUCACCUAGCUUGCUUCAUUUCACGUUCCAGGGAGGCAUUAUUGGCCCUGCUUUACAGGUAGGUAAACUGAGGCCCGGGGAAAGGGCCACACUGGGUGACUAGCAGAGCUAGAUUCCCACGGGGCUUUCUCUGCCCCGGGGGCCUGGGAGUAGAGGCACAGUCUGGUCUGCACUGAGGUAGGCCGCCGUGGAGAAGGGAAGGGAGCCGGCAGCUGGAUGUGGCAGGAUGAUUUCUCCUGAGAGUAGCCCUCGCGGUCAGCUUCCUUUUCAUACUUUCCCGGCGUUCUCUCCACCCACAGGUGCACCAGGGACCUGUCCCUCUGUCCUACACGGUCACCACAGUGACGACCCAAGGCUUCCCCUUGCCUACAGGCCAGCACAUCCCUGGCUGCAGUGCCCAGCAGCUCCCAGCAUGCUCCGUGAUGUUCAGUGGGCAGCAUUACCCCCUCUGCUGCCUCCCGCCCCCGCUUAUCCAGGCGUGCACCAUGCAGCAGCUGCCUGUGCCCUAUCAGGCCUACCCCCACCUCAUCUCCAGUGACCACUACAUCCUGC